rnacentral:rRNA from 1 species
GACGUAGGGCGCGAGCGUUGUCCGGAUUUAUUGGGCGUAAAGAGCUCGUAGGCGGCUUGUCGCGUCGACUGUGAAACUCGGGGCUCAACUCCGAGCUUGCAGUCGAUACGGGCAGGCUAGAGUUCGGUAGGGGAGACUGGAAUUCCUGGUGUAGCGGUGAAAUGCGCAGAUAUCAGGAGGAACACCGGUGGCGAAGGCGGGUCUCUGGGCCGAUACUGACGCUGAGGAGCGAAAGCGUGGGGAGCGAACAGG